GCCAUAAAGGAUCAAUAUAUGGAAGGCCUUGUCGCAAUCUCUACCCACCUCCCACACACCCAAAAGCCAACACCACAAUGAUUACUGUGUGGGAGCAGGAAGGCCAAGGUCCUGGGAACUAAGAGAUUUGAAAACAGAACAGUCCAGCUGCAUUAGGACCACCUACGUAAUGUCACAGUUGUCUCAUAAAAAGUGAAAAUAAUCCCUCUUUAACAAGGAUUUUCCUUUGUUUUGACAUUUCUGCGUGCUGAAUAUUUGACAUACGCAGCCAGCUACAGGAUGAAAGUCAUCACACGGACAAAUCAAUCUCCACCUGUUUGCACACCUACAUCUUGUCUCACGGAUAAUGAGUUUUUAAAACCACCCACCCUAAUGCCUAAGGCUUGCAUUUUAGCCAAUCAGUGCUGACUCAUAAAUAACUCCACGGGGUUGAGCAGAAUGUUAUCUAUAUGACACACAUGAACUAGCGCAUGAACUAGCGCUGUCUAGCUGUGAAAAACUGUCAGCAUGCACUGGGAUGGGUUUAAUUUUGACUUGACUGUCUAUUUAAAUGACAGGAAAAUGCAAAUGAAUAAUGAAAGAGCAUUUCACAACUCAUAAUUGUUUUGGUACUCAUUUUGGGUUAGAUUACAAGUGGAAAUAAAUUGAUGAUGCGA